AACCUUUCUUUUCCUAUUCCCUUUUCCAAACGCAGCCAUCAUUUUGGCCAGAAAUCAUAGCCCUAAAGUUGAUUUGUUAGGGCUCAUUCCAGCGACCUCCAAAUCCACCAUUUUCUUUGGUGAUCGGUGGUGCACCAACGCCGCCCAGAAGCCGUCAAAGGCCCUGCUCAAGGAGAACAGGUACAUUCGUUGGCUUUUAUAGCCAGAUUUACAGAGUAAAAUCAAAAAAAUAAAAUUACAUUUUCUUGCUGUCAAUCGCUGUAACUUCUGUUAGCCUCUUUCUCGUGCCUUCCUUUGCUGUUUAUUUUUCUUUCUUGUAGGUUCCGUUGACGUGAAUGUACGGAGGCGCACCUGGGAUGUACGGAAGCAGACGUGCGUGAGAAUCCCUCGUGGGAAGCCGACCCUUUAGUUUAUUCCAGAAGAUUCUGGCAUUCUCAGACUGCUAAAAUUAUUUUUGGGUGUAUUGGGCCUCGGGUUUGAGCUAUUAGGUUUGAGGAUUUAUUCAAUUGGGUCAUGAGUUAUUGGACUUUUAUUGUAUUGUUUUUCAUUUUAGUUUUGGGUUUUGUAAAUGGACUUUAGCCCUAUAAACAAUUUGGUCUUUCAUUUA